GACGAACGCUGGCGGCGGGCUUAACACAUGCAAGUCGAACGGAAAGGCCCUGCUUUUGUGGGGUGCUCGAGUGGCGAACGGGUGAGUAACACGUGAGUAACCUGCCCUUGACUUUGGGAUAACUUCAGGAAACUGGGGCUAAUACCGGAUAGGAGCUCCUGCUGCAUGGUGGGGGUUGGAAAGUUUCGGCGGUUGGGGAUGGACUCGCGGCUUAUCAGCUUGUUGGUGGGGUAGUGGCUUACCAAGGCUUUGACGGGUAGCCGGCCUGAGAGGGUGACCGGCCACAUUGGGACUGAGAUACGGCCCAGACUCCUACGGGAGGCAGCAGUGGGGAAUAUUGCACAAUGGGCGGAAGCCUGAUGCAGCAACGCCGCGUGCGGGAUGACCGCUUUCUGGUUGUAAACCGCUUUCGCCUGUGACGAAGCGUGAGUGACGGUAAUGGGUAAAGAAGCACCGGCUAACUACGUG
rnacentral:rRNA from 1 species